rnacentral:sRNA from 1 species
GGCCGAUCCUUUUCGUCGAUGUUUUCAAGCCCAAUAAACAGGGGUCUGGAGCGUUGAACUUCAUUCAUGUUGCCAGGCCAGUAAGGGAGCCAACAUGUCCGCAGUAGGGAGUGACUCUAUCUUUGACGACCGUUUGCCUUGGACCAACAGAGCACUUUGGAGCCGUCAUCUCCUGCAUGCAAUUUCUCCCCCGAUAAUCAUCGAGUAGGUAGCCAUAUUUCAUUUUUGUUGCCAACUGUACGACACCCUUGUUUCUCGAAAUUCUGCAUCGGAAAUAGAUUGUUCGCCCUUUAAGCACGGAUCGACGGCAUAACAGCAAUCAUUGGAGAGCUUGAGUUGAUUGACAAACAGCGCUUCUUUGUUGAAUUGUUUUUGCAAGCCGUAGGAUAUACCAUUCCAUCCGCGCAGUUCGCCUAACUAGUUGUAUGAGCUUUGAUUGCCGAGUCAGGAAGAGCUUCUUACCAUCGUUUCAAUCUCUUUAUCUCAACCCAUCAGGAGAGGAUCUGUGAGUUCUGAGAGAAGGAAAACUAGUCCGACGCCGCAGAUUCCCAGGAUCGCUGCAUGGUGGCUAAUGCUCUUUGUAUCAACUGUACCGCCUCUUUUCGCAGAUCCUGGUGACAUUGUUUUCUCUCCGUAUAUGAAUACAAAAAUCUCACACUUCGCCGGUCAAUUGGCGACGAUCCCGAAAGUGUUCAAGUUUUGCUGUCUGUGGCCUGUCCAAGGCACAUGUACCUACCCUCAAUUGGAGUUGUCGUAGGCUUGUUGUCCGUGAUUAAAGAAAGAACUCCAGUUGCUAGAUAUUUUCCCCUCCCAAGACAUCCUCCUCCGCCCCUCCAACCCCCCAAUACCCCAAACUUGCCUGCCCCCAGUUCUUAUCCGCAAAACCACUACGCUCUCCGCUACGACGACGACGCUGGCUUCUUAGAUAGAACCUGCUACGGGAUCGCCAGUGGUGGGUUAUCGGACACGCUUGAAUUGCCAAAUGGUUGCUUCGAGCCAGUUGCGACAUGAACCAACCUCGUUAACCAGAUUCAUUCCACGAUACGAAGAGUUCCCCGCGCACUGGAAGAGAUAAGCAUAUCCAUACCAAGGAUAUUCCCACUCCGCUGCAAACGGACCGAGUCGCCGAGCAGAUUUGGCUCGACAAGACAACCCUCCUUUAUCCCGUUAGGGUUUUGGGCAGUGUUGACCGUUGAACUCAAAUAUACCAGGCAGUCAAAAUCGGAACCUUGGUUCGCCCAUAACCUUCUUACAAUUGCAACACGGCCAGGACAGAAACUACGGUACGAAGGGUGUGUCAACGCAUCAUAGGUCGAAUUUGGGAACACGCCUUCCGCUCCUCUGUGACGUUUCUGCAGGAAAUCAGACGUUCAAAACACUGCAAGGGCGGUUCAUUCCACUUUCCUCGAUCCACAAAAGGCACUAUACUCGGUCAGGUAUUUCGAAGCUCUCUCUCACCCUGUUCCGUGAGUAAUAUUGCCGGGCUACCUCCCCCAUUAGGCGCAGAAGGUUUCGCUGCUCGCUGCCAUUUGCUUCUUUGCCAUCAUUCCCCAUUAUUUGGCCUCGACUAUAUUUUCGUUUUAGGUGAUCCUAAUUUAGCCCGCAGACCUCCCCACCCGUGAUACAACGCUUAAUAUUCUUCCCCCAACCUGGCUUGUUAGCCGUUUAUCUUUAUACUCGACGACGCUAUAUUCGAUCCAAAGCGCAGACUUGGAAAGAAUCCAUUCCCAAACCCCAUUUUUAUUCCCAGGUACGACCUACAAGGAUCAUCACACGAAUCCUUGGGUCUUGCGAACCCUCUCUCCUGGAGAAGAGCUAAAGUGUUCCUUGGAUAUUUUUACUAUCCAACACUCUUAACAGGCUGUUCUUCAUGAGCGCGCCAACAUUUGCUGAAGACCCUGUUACACAGCGGCCAGCUCUCCAAAGUGCGGACUUUCGUCUUACGGUUCGCCAGAACCCGGAGCGGGCCCGUGUAGCAGGAGGAAAAGAGAAAGAACGCAAAGCGGUGGACCCUCCACCUAUUAUCCAACUGAAAAUCGAUGAAUCGAAGGACCCUGGGCAGCCUCCAUCGGCUUAAGGACACCGAUAAUAUGGAAGGUGGUUUUUUCGUCUUCGGCGACCUUUCUGUUAAGAUUGAAGGAGAAUUUAGGCUGAAAUUUAACCUGUUUGAGAUGCGAGAAGUUAAGAGAUGUGGCGGCUCGAGAGAUGAAGUCGUUUACAUAAAAUCGAUCCUCUCUAAACCAUUCACUGUGUUACCCCCCAAAAACUUCCCUGGGAUGACCGAGUCCACCUGGCUUUCAAGGUCCUUUGCGGAUCAAGGAGUUAAGCUGAGAAUUCGGAAGGAAGCCCGUACACUUCUAAAACGCCCAUUGAAUCGAGCGGAACCAGAUUACGCAGCCCCGCCGACGCAGCCUCGUACGCCAGAGCGCUCCGGCGCAUCGAGUCAGCAGAUGGUAGCUGCUUACCAGACAAACCGAGACUACCCUUUUUACAAUGGGCCAGACGCCAAGCGUCCACGGAGUUCAGUUGAUAUGAGUGGUCGAGGCUUGUACGAAGGAGAUGCUCGAUACUCGUACCCACCGCAUGCCGCCAAUCCAUACCAAGGUCAGACGUACCAACAAGGCAUGAUGCAAGGCUAUCCUACUGCUGGAGCUGGGGUAUCCGACUACGCCAUUCGACAGGCACAACAGGGAUCUACACCGACACCGUUUGGUUCAGCCGAUGAAUCCAUUGGAUCUAUCCGCUCGCCCGGAGCGGGUGGGUACAUAGGUCAACCUCGAUACCAGUCAUACUCGGGCGCUCAAAUGCCAUACAAUCUUGCUUCUUCAACACAAAUGUCACAGAUGGGCGAAUCCACCCCAGGCCGGACCGGCCAGGCAGCAAAUAUGGGGGGAAUCGUUUCUGGUCAGUCUUUCAGUCAAUCCGCAGGACACAUGCAGAGUCCUUCUCAAGUUCCGCCGGCAUGGGGAUGAUGCCCCAAGCGUACCAACGAUCGCAGUUCCAACCCGCGGGUUCAAACACCCUACCUCCCUUGCAAUCGAACCGGCAAGCAGCUCCGUCGAACAGUAACGGCAAUGCGCGGGCUUAUUACGAUCAAUCCAUACAAGGAACUCCACCAAUUCUCCCUUCUCAGCCGGGUCCCUCGACAAAUGGCGAUAGAUACGGGAGCGACGGCCAGGUUGCUUUCGGUGCUCCUGGUUCGUCUAACACAACACCGCAAUAAGUUGCUCCUCGCGAAUUUCACGAACCGCUGUCUAUAUGAUUUUAUAUUUUUAUUCCCUGGGUUAAUUUCGGCUUAAUAUUCGUCCUUGUAUUCUGACAUGAGACUUUCUCAGUUUCCAUACUCGUCCGCUUGGAUAGAUUUUCACGGAAGGUGUCAAAGGGAGGAGGGACUAGUCCGGUUGGGAAUAAUAUAGUUAUACCUGGUGUCUUAGGACUUACGGAUCUUGUGUUUAUGCUAUUUUUAAUUUCACGGGGUGUUCACGAAAAUUGCAUUUUUUCUUACGUCCCUUUCUUGUACAGUAUGUUAUUUUACUCUUCUUUUCUCUCUUCUUCUCUUUGUUUGUAAUGGGCCCCUCUUUUCCUUUUACUCAUACAAAAUCAGUUGGCGGGCUGUUUCCCCCCCUUCUUGCCUUGCUUUUCCUUUCCUCAUUCCCAUGUUUGGAACUUGCAGUGCAUGCUCGAAAUUAGGUUGUUAAACACGGGACUGGCAGUUCUAAAUGGAAAAGGCGUGGAUUUUAGAGUUGCAUCUCAAGACACAGGUCAUUUAUAAUGGUAAUAUGGACUUCCCUGGUUCAUUGAGCAGGCGCAUCAUGUAUGGUUCGGAAAGCUGACUCAGGUGUUCCUGACCUCGCUGUUUGAUGUUCGGUUUGUUAGGUUGAAUGUACGGUGAUCAGACAAAUACAAUCAUAGGAUGCCUGUUCUUAUUCUGCUCUAAUAAUACAGGGAUUGCGCCCCUUUACUAAGUCAUAUUCAGAUCUCUUGCCCCGUACAAGCUUGGGCCGUCGCCAGGAACACGCGCUAGACAAUCCAAUGCGUCAUUAGAGCAUCGGCAUUGAAGCGCGUUAUCGCAAAGCGGGAACUACACAUACACCGUCGACAAUACACCCCACGAGUGUAUAUGUGUUGUUGGUGAGUGUUGUGGCCUCUCAGCCGUUGUUUCCCCGGCGCCGCCAACAUUGAUCGAUUGUGUCUAAACAACAUCAAACUUGUCCA